rnacentral:tRNA from 1 species
GGGGAUGUAGCUCAGUGGUAGAGCAUUUGCCUAGCAUGCAAAAAGGCCUAGGUUCAAUCCCCAGCACUGCA